UUGUCACAUUACACAGUUGAAGUCUGUUUUUAACUCUUAGCAACAACCUAAAAUGUAUUUUCAUUAGCUGCCCAAAAAAGUUCCUGAAUUCUUUUACUAGAAGGUCAACAAAAUUAGCUUGGGGGAGAAAAGUAAAAUAAUGUCUUGCUGUACUCUUAUGAACUUCAUAAGACGCCAAAACCACCUUGUAAACAUUCAGGGAAAAAGUCAGCUAUAUUUAGGUAUUUCAGGAUGCGAUUGCAUCUCCAAAGACUUUAUUCAUUUCACAUGAUAGGAGAAAGAGUUAAACUAAAACCACAUUCAGUAUCACUUCAGCAAUGCACUGGCUAGUCCAUUCAAAUAAGCAUUACAUGAGCCUUUCAGCACAAGCAGUAAAACAUACAAGAAAAUAAAAAUGGUGCAUUUCUCUUCCCUGCUUACUUUACCAGACCUGAAAGAAUCAAGUCUGAAUGCAAGACAACAGGCACCAAAAUUCUGAAUUUUGUUCCAUCUGAUCAGUUGCAGAACACAUUAUUACACACAUGAAAUAAAAUCUUUCAAAUAUAAGAAAUGUGAAAACUUAAGCCACUUAGUGUAUUAAAAAGUUAUGCAGCAUAUACAUCACCACAUGAUGUUCGAAUUCAAAGUAAGUUUUGUUUCAAUGAGAUGGAAAAGUAUGUCCCAGUGUUUUGCACACAUUGUCAGGCUGCUGUCACGACUAAAUAGGCCUAAAGCCUAAGUUUUAUACAGAGCAUUUAAGCCUGUGCCUUUUCAAAAUAAAAAUUUGGUGAGGUGAAUAAAAUGUGCUAAUGUCAUAGUUUAGAAAACACGUUUUAAAAACAGAGCUGAAACACACAUCUCUCACCCAAGGCAUAAUGAACUACAGUUAGUACUAAUUCGAGGUAUUUCUUAUUCAGGCAAAAAAAAAAAAAAAAAUCAGUUCCAAAGCUAAUACACGUUUGCACAUUACACAGCAUUCUACUACACUACUUUUACUAUUGUUAGACAACUAAUCAGCUGUGUAUUGUUAUGCACAGCAUGACCCAGAGCAGGCGAGGCAGCACCGCACAGCGCUUCUGGUCUCUCUGCAGCAGCACUUGGGUGCAGAAUCCACAGAACGACAUCAACAAGUUACCUGAGAAACUUGGCUAACCUUCUAAAAUAAAACUCAGCAGAGCUUGGCUGCCCACACUAAUCAGUUUAAGGUAAAGUGCACACAAUUCAGCUCCAAUAAGGUUUCUAAAUAUCACAAGUCUUCUGCCAUAAUAAGAUAUUCUAUUAUCCAGAAUUAUUUCAAGUUUUAAUUCAGCCAAGUCCUUCUCAUCUUACUAGUCCAACGUCAGUCAAUUCUACAGAUCAAUUUAGGUAGCUUCAUAAAAACCAGUGUUCACUUAUUUCUUCAUCCCUUCUGUCACAGAGGGAAAACAUUAUGUGAAAUUUCAGGAAUCUAAAUCCAGAUAUCUACAGAUACACAAAGCAUUCUAUGGUCCCACUGUAAGCACACUGAUUUGAAUAUGCACACACAAAAAUGAGGAAAACAAGCAAACAUACAAGCCAAAUGCUAAUGUAUUUCUACCAUAGCUUACAAUCUGCAAAGGUAUUCUCACAAAUAAAUCAUUAGAAAUGCUAGAAUAUUAAGACUGGUUGAGAUGAGUCACAGUGGCAGAGAGACAGACUGCCAUCUCCACUCCAAUCGUUCCAAAGAAGAUCCCAUCCCUCUCACUGAAGGAGUCUUCUCAUUUACUGAUGAUACUCCUCUAAUACUACCAGUGGACCAUGUCAACUACAGAUUUAGAAAAGAAUUAUGGAGGAGAAAAGUAACUAACCAGGGCACUGGGUUAUUUUCCUUCCUAAAUUCCAAGCUGAAUGCCCUCAAUCAAACAAGGCUCAUCUCCAACUGGCCAGCAGUAGUACAAUCCCUUAAUAUCAAGACACAUUGUUCCAUUCUCUCAUUUUUGUUUUGUUAGCUGAAUAAGUACAAAAUUCUAAAAUAUCAUUUUGAAAUUAUGCUCUUUACUGACUAAAAGUGUUCAAAUUACAUCCUUCAUUACAAUGCUUCUAAAUUAUGUAAUUGAAAGACAUGUCAUUUUGUACAUAUUCUAGCAACUAAAUGAAAUAAAUAGUUUAGAAGAGGAACCUCACAGUUCUCCCUCAAAUGCAAAUCCCUUGUUGGAGAGCAGCAAAAAAACACAGAAUAUAUUCUAACAUGUAAGAGUUAGAGAUAAACAUUUAAAACAAUUUUUAAAACAGACAGAUUAUAGGAAAGUUGCUCUGAUACCUUUCAUGCAGGUCAUUUGCACGCUAGCUAGCAAUAAUAAAACAGAAAUACCAAAAUAUAGCUAUCUAGGUCCUAAAAAUGAAAAAACACUUGUAUAAGGAACAAUUGUGUAGACAGUUAACAUAAAGCUUAUAGCCUUCUUUAUGCUACAUUAAAAUUGACCAGGUUGUUAAAAAGGUUCAAAAUAAAUACUGUCAACAUGACCAAUUCCAUACCAAGCCACUUUUUUUUCCCUUACUCCUGUUUAGAAAUUAUUCCUUUUUGUUGUUCCUCUGUACUUCCCAGAACCCCUUUCCCGCACUGUUCCCAAUAAAUUUAGUCUUCGCAUGACUAUGGAACACCAUGGUUUUACACCAAGCAUCUUAAAAGACCCUAUUCUUAAAUUGUCUUUUUUCACCUUCUACAGAACUUCUGUUUCUCAACUCUGAAAUUAAUUACCUGUCAAACAAGUCACUAUGGCUUACUUUUUCUAAGCAAUCCCAUUCUCGUCACCACCUAGCAUCUCAAAAGCAGGUAAAAAAAAUUAUUGGAAGACAUAGCCUCAUAAAUUCAAAAGAAUUUACUGUCUUUCCAGUCUGAAAUAGAACGGUCUCCGAUCCCCAUGACUUGUGCACAGAGCUGGCAAACGCAAAAUCCUCCUUGCAAUAAGAACACAGCUGUACCUUCAAUCUUUUCCUCCUCUGGACAAAAACAACCUCUAGUUUACACAUUAGCGAACAGUUUCUCCUCCCAUUCGCCACACACCUUUAUACACUGCACAACCACUGUAACUAUUUCUACCUUCACCUCCUCCCUCCCCGAACCUCAUUUUUCGGAGGGUACACCACGGACACACUCCUGGGAGGGGGGUUUAUUUGUUUGUUUUUAAGCGCGAUGUCGCUUACCCAACGUGGCUGCCGAGAACCAGGACAAAAGCAUGGGGAGCGGCCGGGUCUACAUUCUUCACCGCCGACCCAAUGCUGCGGAGCAGCGAGACGAUAGGCCAGCGCGCCGAAGUGAAAGGGCGGCAGCACCAAUCACAGCACCCGCUAAGGACCGGGGCGCCCGCCAACCAGAGAGGAGUUGGUGGGCGGGGCGUAAUGAAACGUGGAAGCCUUGAUUGACAGGCCACUGCUCAAUCAGAGAGACGGCGAGGGAAGCGACAGCCAAUCAAAGCCGAGCCUACUGCGAAAGGCGCUCUCGGUCUUGCCCCUCUUCCCAAGCCCUGGCGGCAGCGCAUGCGCACACACGCUCCGGGCGGGCCCGUCCCUCUCUUAGCCGCCGGUGACGCACGUAGCCAGCCCCGCCCCACCACGCAGCGGCGCAUGCGCCAAGGCGCCUGCUCCGGGAGGGCAAGGCUGCGCGCGCCCCGUGCCCCGGGGUUGCCAGGGGCAACGGGCGGGGCCUGCGGGCGGGCCGGGCCCUGCGGCCUCCUCACCCGGCCGGUGCCUGCUCCGCGGGUCCCCGUCCGCCACCCCGGGGCCCCGCAGCCCCCGCCACAGCUCGCCUGCCGCCUGGGGAGGAGAAACCCGCGGGGGAAAGUCCCGCUUUUGCCGCGCAGCGGGUCAAUAAGUGAUCCCUCAUCCUCUCAGAGCUGGAGCGUGCAGAUCAACGCCAGUUCCCACCAGCAAAUAGCCCAGCGACCCCUGUCACCAGCACAGAAACCACCACCACUUCCCCACUAUAUACAUGUAUUAACAUACACACAUGGAAAAAAAUAAAAAUAUAUAUGACUGGCUUUCUGUGAAAAUCCUUGCUGUAUUACCAUGAGGAUGUGAGCUCUGUCUUCACUUCCAGGCUAAGGCCACAAUCCACCUUGGUUCCUCCUCCAUGUGUCCCCACCUCACAUCUCCUUUAGAGUUCCCAUUAAUCGUGCUUGAAGCCAAAAAGACUAC